CAGGUCACACGCAAGCUGCGUUUUCCCUGCACUUUUCUUCAAAAGACUUUCCCUUAAAUUUUGCCCAAACUGGAUGACCCAAUCACGUUGCUAGCUGUAGAGCUUCAUGCAGAUUUGUCCAAAGUCGCGAACCAAUCACGUGGCUGCCUUAGCGCACGCUGCGUCACUUUCAAAAUGGCGGCGUUCUACACUAAACUUAAACAUUCUGUCGCGUAAAUUCAGUCAUACAAUACAGCACAAGAGAAACAACUCAAGUGAGCCUACCCUGGAUUGCACACCAUCACUUCACCGAAGAGCUGCUUGAGGUUGGGCCUGCCCCACUUCACCCGGCUGAAGACCAGCUUCUCAGCCGCGGUGCUACCCCGGAGGUCUCUUUGCUCGCCCCCGGUCACGUACAGCCUAAGGGUGAGCAAGUCCGGUCUGUUGGACUCCCAGAGCUACAAGGCAACACAGGAAAACACUUGUUUAAAUCUCUACUCCACCAAGCACCAGGACUACACUUGUCUUCCUAAACUGGUCGUGCCUCGAAUUGGUCCACAUGCAGCUGAAGUUCCAUGACGUCACAGGCAUGGAACCGAACGCCAAUCACCGUCACGCACCGGUAACUCCGGAAGAAUCGCCACAACCGCUCCCCAAUGUACAGGACAGCUGGGAGGAUUAAAAAGCACCAUGUCUCUCUACAUGACGUCAGGACAAUGGCAACCAGAAUAAGCAGCAUUAGGCAGCCCGUCACGCCAGGCACUGUGAGAAAUAUAAGGGCAAGGAGCAAACUUUGUACACAUCGACAACUUACGUGUUUAGACCUCCGUAUAAGCGACAGCAGGCAUCUGCACAUCGGUAGCAAGAUUGUGGCAC